CCUUCAAGGACUUGCUUGAUAUUGGGUUCAAGUGGGGGUAAGUCCCAUCCUUAAAUCUACAACAAAUAGGGAACAAAUCCAGCCUCUGGUGACGUACCAUUGAUUUAAAAUUCUCAAAUAGAUAAGUGACUGAAGAUCCCAACCAGGCAUGAACUUCAAAUGGCUCUGCAUCCUGUCUCUUGCCUUCAUUAUGGUAUUCAGCACCCUGGCAGAAGCCCGGUUCUGUCAACCACCUCGGCGUCCACAGCGUCCACAGCGUCCACAGCGUCCACAGCGUCCAUCCCAAGGAAGAUGUAAUGGAAAUGUAACACAGAAACAACAAUGCGGAUGGCAAGGGAUAAGACAAAGAGCAUGCAGAAACAAAGGGUGCUGUUUUAUCAAUAACAAAUGUUUCUAUCCAAGAUGAUUGAAAUGAAUUGAAAUUCAGGACUGAACUCACGCUGGCACUGGAAUCCAUGGAAGAGAAAAGAUUAUGGCAUUGCAGUUUAUUAUUUCCUGCUCUCUAAUUCCCAUCCUGCGAUUUCUUGCUUUUAUUUGUGUGCGAUAUGAAAGAAAUUAGGUUUAAUCUUCAUUUAAUUAGAUUUUUUUUCAUGUCAGGAGUGACUUGAGGACCUGCAAGUCACUUCUGGCGUGAGAGAAUUGGCUGUCUGCAAGUUCAUUGCCCAGAGGAUGCCUGGAUGUUUUACCAUCCAUGUGGGAGGCUUCUCUCAUAUCACCACAUGGGGAGCUGGAGCUGACAUAGGGCGCUCAUCUGCUCUCUCCCCAGAUUUGAACCUCCGACAUGUAGGUCUUCAGUCCUGCCAGCACAGGGGUUUAACCCAGUGCACCGUCGGGGGCGCCUAACUGCACUGAAAACAUACUUAUUUUAACACACUUACUGGUGGUUUGUGGAAAAAUAGCAGAGAAAGUGCUGCAACUCAUCAUUUUGGGACUGGCCGUCCUCUUGCUGUAUUCACAAGUUGAAAAUUCUCACAGCCUAAUUUCCCUGACACUCGUCUACCCUAAAUCUUGAUAUUUUGUCAGGUAACCUCAGCUUCACAAAUAUUGUAUUAAUCUGUGCUACUGCUCUUUAGAACACAAAAUGUUUCACAAGUCCCUCUCCUUGGCUGUAUUAUCUUUCUGAAAGCUCGUUUUGCAUUAAAAAAGCAUUCCUAAA